rnacentral:rRNA from 1 species
GAGUCUCCUGAAGGAACGUUGAAGACGACGACGUUGAUAGGCCGGGUGUGUAAGCACAGCGAUGCGUUGAGCUAACCGGUACUAAUGAACCGUGAGGCUUAACCUUACAACGCCGAAG